rnacentral:rRNA from 1 species
CCUACGGGAGGCAGCAGUGGGGAAUAUUGGGCAAUGGGCGCAAGCCUGACCCAGCAACGCCGCGUGAAGGAAGAAGGCUCUCGGGUUGUAAACUUCUUUUAUCAGGGACGAAGCAAGUGACGGUACCAGAUGAAUAAGCCACGGCUACUACGUGCCUGCAGCCGCGGUAAUACGUAGGUGGCAAGCGUUAUCCGGAAUUACUGGGUGUAAAGGGCGUGUAGGCGGGAAAGCAAGUCAGAUGUGAAAACCAUGGGCUCAACCUGUGGCCUGCAUUUGAAAAUGUUUUUCUUGAGGACUGGAGAGGCAGACGGAAUUCCGAGUGUAGCGGUGAAAUGCGUAGAUAUUAGGAGGAACACCAGUGGCGAAGGCGGUCUGCUGGACAGCAACUGACGCUGAGGCGCGAAAGCGUGGGGAGCAAACAGGAUUAGAUACCCGUGUAGUC